GACGAACGCUGGCGGCGUGCCUUACGCAUGCAAGUCGAGCGGGGUACAGGGCUUCGGCCUUGUACCUAGCGGCGAACGGCUGAGUAACACGUAAGUAACCUGCCCUCCAGUGGGGAUAACCCUCGAAGAGGGCUAAUACCGCAUGUGUUCUCAGGGGGAAGUUCUCUGGGAGGAAAGCCUUCGGGCGCUGGAGGAGGGGCUUGCGGCCUAUCAGGUAGUUGGUGGGGUAACGGCCUACCAAGCCUACGACGGGUAGCUGGUCUGAGAGGAUGAUCAGCCAGACGGGGACUGAGACACGGCCCCGACUCCUACGGGAGGCUG
rnacentral:rRNA from 1 species